rnacentral:rRNA from 1 species
UACGGAGGAUGCGAGCGUUAUCCGGAUUUAUUGGGUUUAAAGGGUGCGUAGGCGGAAGAUUAAGUCAGUGGUUAAAUCGUGAGGCUCAACCUCAUCCAGCCAUUGAAACUGGUUUUCUUGAGUGGAAGAGAAGUAUGCGGAAUGCGUGGUGUAGCGGUGAAAUGCAUAGAUAUCACGCAGAACUCCGAUUGCGAAGGCAGCAUACCGGCUUCCAACUGACGCUGAAGCACGAAAGCGUGGGUAUCGAACAGG